GAUGAACGCUGGCGGCGUGCUUAACACAUGCAAGUCGAACGGUGAAGGCGGAGCUUGCUCUGCUGGAUCAGUGGCGAACGGGUGAGUAACACGUGAGCAAUCUGCCCCUGACUCUGGGAUAAGCGCUGGAAACGGCGUCUAAUACUGGAUACGAGCUGCGAAGGCAUCUUCAGCAGCUGGAAAGAAUUUCGGUCAGGGAUGAGCUCGCGGCCUAUCAGCUUGUUGGUGAGGUAAUGGCUCACCAAGGCGUCGACGGGUAGCCGGCCUGAGAGGGUGACCGGCCACACUGGGACUGAGACACGGCCCAGACUCCGACGGGAGGCAGCAGUGGGGAAUAUUGCACAAUGGGCGAAAGCCUGAUGCAGCAACGCCGCGUGAGGGACGACGGCCUUCGGGUUGUAAACCUCUUUUAGCAGGGAAGAAGCGAAAGUGACGGUACCUGCAGAAAAAGCGCCGGCUAACUACGUG
rnacentral:rRNA from 1 species